CAACCUCGUGUUUGGUACAUGCCCACUCGCAUCUCGAGGAUUGCGAAAGAUCGGGAAUGGUCAAAACUGUUUUACGAAGACAACUUCCAAAAAUGCGUCAAGAUGUUUGUGCCGGUGUUGACUCUAGAAGGUGCACCACAUUAGUUUGGUGCCGAAGUUAAUAUGAAGUCCAAGGUUGUCUCAUUUCUGGACUCCCUACACACCGCAAUGGAUGAGAAGUAUCGUGUGGACGCUACGAAAGAAAUGGUAAAGUUGCAAAGUUUCAUUGUUUGAUGUGAACUCAUUC